UACGAAGGGGGCUAGCGUUGUUCGGAAUUACUGGGCGUAAAGCGCACGUAGGCGGGUUGUUAAGUCAGGGGUGAAAUCCUGGAGCUCAACUCCAGAACUGCCUUUGAUACUGGCAACCUAGAGACUGGAAGAGGUUAGUGGAAUUCCCAGUGUAGAGGUGAAAUUCGUAGAUAUUGGGAAGAACACCAGUGGCGAAGGCGGCUCACUGGACCGGAACUGACGCUGAGGCGCGAAAGCGUGGGGAGCAAACAGG
rnacentral:rRNA from 1 species